AAGACGGCACGGGUAGCCUACUUGAAGCUGCGUCUCCAUCCGACAAAUUGACUGCUAUGCUGUCCAUGGGAUGACAGAUGACCAGUUGAUGAAAUAUGUCCCCAAGAUUGGAGACCGGAUAGCUAUUCGGCAGUACUGCAGAACAGAAGUGGCUGCACUGGAAGGAACCACCACAACAAUUUCUAA